GAAACGCGAUAGUUAAUGUGAAUUGCAGAAUUCAGUGAAUCAUCGAGUCUUUGAACGCACAUUGCGCCCAUAGGUAUUCCUUUGGGCAUGUCUGUUUGAGCGUCAUUACAACCCUCAGCUAACCGCUGGUUUUGAACCUGAACGGGUGACACCGCGCCGGUUUUAAAGUUGUAAGCUCUGCUGGCCGCUCUGCCCAACCAGAACAUAGUAAGCACUACUUGUCCGGGUGAAGCUGAACGGUACGGCCUGAACAAAACCUACCCACUCUCAAGGUUUGACCUCAGAUCAGACAAGGAUACUCGCUGAACUUAAGC
rnacentral:misc_RNA from 1 species